rnacentral:rRNA from 1 species
GACGAACGUUGGCGGCGUGCUUAACACAUGCAAGUCGAACGGAAAGGCCCUGCUUUUGUGGGGUGCUCGAGUGGCGAACGGGUGAGUAACACGUGAGUAACCUGCCCUUGACUUUGGGAUAACUUCAGGAAACUGGGGCUAAUACCAGAUAGGAGCUCCUGCUGCAUGGUGGGGGUUGGAAAGUUUCGGCGGUUGGGGAUGGACUCGCGGCUUAUCAGCUUGUUGGUGGGGUAGUGGCUUACCAAGGCUUUGACGGGUAGCCGGCCUGAGAGGGUGACCGGCCACAUUGGGACUGAGAUACGGCCCAGACUCCUACGGGAGGCAGCAGUGGGGAAUAUUGCACAAUGGGCGGAAGCCUGAUGCAGCAACGCCGCGUGCGGGAUGACGGCCUUCGGGUUGUAAACCGCUUUCGCCUGUGACGAAGCGUGAGUGACGGUAAUGGGUAAAGAAGCACCGGCUAACUACGUGCCAGCAGCCGCGGUGAUACGUAGGGUGCGAGCGUUGUCCGGAUUUAUUGGGCGUAAAGGGCUCGUAGGUGGUUGAUCGCGUCGGAAGUGUAAUCUUGGGGCUUAACCCUGAGCGUGCUUUCGAUACGGGUUGACUUGAGGAAGGUAGGGGAGAAUGGAAUUCCUGGUGGAGCGGUGGAAUGCGCAGAUAUCAGGAGGAACACCAGUGGCGAAGGCGGUUCUCUGGGCCUUUCCUGACGCUGAGGAGCGAAAGCGUGGGGAGCGAACAGGCUUAGAUACCCUGGUAGUCCACGCUGUAAACGGUGGGUACUAGGUGUGGGGUCCAUUCCACGGGUUCCGUGCCGUAGCUAACGCUUUAAGUACCCCGCCUGGGGAGUACGGCCGCAAGGCUAAAACUCAAAGGAAUUGACGGGGCCCCGCACAAGCGGCGGAGCAUGCGGAUUAAUUCGAUGCAACGCGUAGAACCUUACCUGGGUUUGACAUGGAUCGGGAGUGCUCAGAGAUGGGUGUGCCUCUUUUGGGGUCGGUUCACAGGUGGUGCAUGGCUGUCGUCAGCUCGUGUCGUGAGAUGUUGGGUUAAGUCCCGCAACGAGCGCAACCCUUGUUCACUGUUGCCAGCACGUUAUGGUGGGGACUCAGUGGAGACCGCCGGGGUCAACUCGGAGGAAGGUGGGGAUGACGUCAAGUCAUCAUGCCCCUUAUGUCCAGGGCUUCACGCAUGCUACAAUGGCUGGUACAGAGAGUGGCGAGCCUGUGAGGGUGAGCGAAUCUCGGAAAGCCGGUCUCAGUUCGGAUUGGGGUCUGCAACUCGACCUCAUGAAGUCGGAGUCGCUAGUAAUCGCAGAUCAGCAACGCUGCGGUGAAUACGUUCCCGGGGCU